rnacentral:rRNA from 1 species
UGGGGAAUAUUGCACAAUGGGCGGAAGCCUGAUGCAGCGACGCCGCGUGAGGGAUGAAGGCCUUCGGGUUGUAAACCUCUUUCAGCAGGGACGAAGCGUAAGUGACGGUACCUGCAGAAGAAGCGCCGGCCAACUACGUGCCAGCAGCCGCGGUAAGACGUAGGGCGCGAGCGUUGUCCGGAAUUAUUGGGCGUAAAGAGCUCGUAGGCGGCUUGUUGCGUCGGCUGUGAAAACCCGCGGCUCAACCGCGGGCUUGCAGCCGAUACGGGCAGGCUAGAAUUCGGUAGGGGAGACUGGAAUUCCUGGUGUAGCGGUGAAAUGCGCAGAUAUCAGGAGGAACACCGGUGGCGAAGGCGGGUCUCUGGGCCGAUAUUGACGCUGAGGAGCGAAAGCGUGGGGAGCGAACAG